rnacentral:rRNA from 1 species
CCCUUAGAUGUUCUGGGCCGCACGCGUGCUACACUGAGUGGAUCAGCGGGUCAGGUUACGCGAGAGCGUUUCCUAAUCUUCAAAUCCGCUCGUGAUGGGGAUUGACUGUUGCAAUUUUCCGUCAUGAACGAGGAAUACCUUGUAAGCGCGGGUCAUCAUCCCGCGCUGAAUACGUCCCUGCCCUUUGUACACACCGCCCGUCGCUCCUACCGAUUGAGUGGUCCGGUGAGGCUUUGGGAUCUAAGCGAAAAGAGCGUUUCGCUCCUUUUGCUGGGAGAACUCAGUCGAACCUUAUCAUUUAGAGGAAGGAGAAGUCGUAACA